rnacentral:lncRNA from 1 species
UUUUUAUUUUCUGUGUUCUUGUUGCUCUGGCAUUUGAUGACCUGGCUAAAUUCAGACUACCAAAGAAGCACAUGAUUACCAGUGCUGAAAUGUGGAGGUAAUUUAACUGUGAUUAGAAUACUAAGAAUCACUUUAUUAUAUAAUUUGCACUUAUCUUUGGAAAAAAUUUUUGAAAAAAGUCUACAAUAUGUAAUCACAUUGCUUACACUCUUGUUGGGAGGGCUAACAGGUAUGAGGCAGUGAAAGAAUAGUAAAAAUAGUAUUUUUGGUAAAAGCUUUGAUGUAGCACUUUACAGCUUAUAGGACAUCAGAAAAAGGGAAUCUAGAGGAAGCAGAGUAGUUAGUAAAACUUUCAUCAAUGAGAUGAAGUACGGUUUACAUCUUGAAAGAUGUGUAAUAAUUGCUAAGCCUCACAGAAAGAGGGAUGAGAGGUUCACCAUGGGAAGUGAAACAUUAAAUAAUAUGGUGGUUAUUAUUUGGGUAGAAGAGAGAGGGGAGGCUGGUGGGUGAAUGGGAUGGGAGUAUUUUACCACAGUGGAUAAUUGGUUUUGUCAAGAGUGAUGGAUAGUAGACCUACAGUUUGGAAAGUCAGAAAGACUGAGAAAUUUCCCUUUAAUCUGGUAGAUAGUACUCAAUUUGAAAACUUUUUCUUUCCAAACCAGCAACAGCAUGUUCGAAAAAUGUUGUUCGUUAGCAAACUAAAACAUCUUAGUAAAAAUUAAGGCUAAAAAUCAUAG